UCCGGAUUUAUUGGGCGUAAAGAGCUCGUAGGCGGCUUGGCAAGUCGGAUGUGAAACCCCCAGGCUUAACCUGGGGCCGCCAUUCGAUACUGCUAUGGCUUGAGUUCGGUAGGGGAUUGUGGAAUUCCCGGUGUAGCGGUGAAAUGCGCAGAUAUCGGGAGGAACACCAAUGGCGAAGGCAGCAAUCUGGGCCGACACUGACGCUGAGGAGCGAAAGCGUGGGGAGCAAACAGGAUUAGAUACCCUGGUAGUCCACGCCCUAAACGUUGGGCACUAGGUGUGGGACCUACUUCGACGGGUUCCGUGCCGUAGCUAACGCAUUAAGUGCCCCGCCUGGGGA
rnacentral:rRNA from 1 species